CACCCUGGUAGUCUUCCCCCCUGGACCAGUUUAGGGUCAUGAGUCCUGGGUCGCUCGCCCCGCUGCUCUUCUGGGCGCUGUCCUUGAUCCCGAUCUCCGAGGGUCCCCACUCCCUGAGGUAUUUGCACACGGCGGUGUCGCGACCCGGCCGUGGAGAGGCGCGGUACGUGUCGGUGGGCUACGUGGACGACACGCUGUUCCUGCGGUUCGACAGUGACUCGGCGAAUCCGCGGGUGGAACCGCGGGCGCCGUGGGUAGGACAGGAGGGGCCACAGUUCUGGGAAGUGCAGACGGAUAUUGCCAAAGUACAUGCACAGACUUGCCGCUCGAAUCUGGUUACUGCGCUUGGCUACUACAACCAAAGCGAGUCGGGGUCUCACACCUUCCAGUGGCUGUCUGGCUGCGACGUGGGACCCGAUGGGCACUUCCUCCGCGGCUACGAGCAGUUCGCCUAUGAUGGAGAAGAUUACAUCUCCUUAAACGAGGACCUGCGCUCCUGGACCGCGGCGGACCAUCCUGCGGAGAUCACCCGGCGCAAGUGGGAGGAGGCCAGAGCUGCAGACCACUACAGGGUAUACCUGGAGGGGGAGUGCGUGGAGUGGCUCCUCAGAUACCUGAAGAAUGGCAAGGAGACCCUGGAGCGCGCAGCUCCCCCAAAGUCACAUGUGACCCGCCACCCUACCUCUCACCAUGAGGUCACCCUGAGGUGCUGGGCCCGGGGAUUCUACCCUGCUGAGAUCACCUUGACCUGGCAGCGUGAUGGGGAGGACCUGAUCCACGACACAGAACUGGUGGAGACCAGGCCUUCAGGGGAUGGAACCUUCCAGAAGUGGGCAGCUGUGGUGGUGCCUUCUGGAGAGGAGCAGAGAUACACAUGCCAUGUGCAGCACCAGGGGCUGCCGGAGCCUGUCACCCUGAGAUGGGAGUCCCCUUCUCAGCUGAUCACCCCCUUUGUGGGAACCAUCGCUGGGCUGGUUGUCCUUGGAGUUGUGAUUGCUGUAGCUGUGAGAUGCAGGAAGAAGCCCUCAGAUGGGAAAAAAUGGAACUAUAUUUAGGGUGCCAGAGGUGGCAGUGCCAGGACUCUGUUAUGACUGUUAUAGAUCAUAAUGUGUGAGAGAGUUCCUUGUGGCAAAUGAGUGGUGCAAGAUUUCUUCAAGCCUCGCUUUGUGACUUUAAGAUCUCCUGACAUUUCUUCCUGAAGAGUCAGGGUGUCUGAAUGUGUCUGUGUCUUACAUUAGCAUACAGUAAGGAGGUGGGGAGACAUGCUCAAUCACCCCACAUUAUUGUGUGAUGGUAUCAUAUAUGUGUCAUAUGUUUAUUUUUAUUUAUAUAUUUUAUUAUUUUUACCUUUUUAUUAAGGUUCUGGUAUUUAUAAUGCUGUUAAAUAUACUUUUUGUACUUAUAUCAUUUCAAACCACACCCAUCCCCAGGGUGUCUGCUUUCCUCCACCCUCCCAGUCAUCCUUCCCAGCAUUUUUAUUCUUUGUAUUAUAUGUUUAAAUGUAUCAAAUUGGAACUUAUUUAAUAUGUGUAGUUCUUUGUAUGUCAGUUUUUUUUUGUCCUUUUUGGUCACACCCAGUAAUGCUCAGGGAUUACUCCUGGUUCAAGAAUAACUCCUGGAGGUGCUCAGGGGUCCAUAUAGGAUGCCAGGGAUUAAACCUGCUUCAGCUGCAUGCAAGGCAAACACUUUCCCCACGAUACUAUCUUUCCAGGCCUCUACAAUGUGUUUUCAAAGUGAAGCAAAAUAUUUUUAAAGAAAUUUACUUUAAGAGAAAUGUGAAGAGCGAAAAAGAGAACAAGAGAGAGAUACAUGUGCAAGAGAGAACAUGGGCUUCUCUAGAGGGAAAAAAGUCUGAAUGAUCUGUUUUAAAAAAUUAUAAAACAUGUUAAUUUUAUAAGACAUGUUAUAUGUUUAAUUUAAAUUUUAUAAAACAUUUCAUAAGACAUUUUUAAAGUGCCUCACUGAUUCCUAUUUUAACUAUUGCCAUUUGGAAUUGUAUUAUUGGGGACUAGAAUCCAGAAUGCUGGAGCUCCAGAGAUGGAGUGCCGACAUGGGUGGAUUGCCGAGAAGAACUUCCCCUAAAGCAAGUGCUUUUUUUUUUUUGGCUUUUUGGGUAACACCUGGCGAUGCACAGGGGUUACUCCUGGCUUUUGCACUCAGGAAUUACUCCGGCGGUGCUGAGGGAACCAUAUGGGAUGCUGGGAAUUGAACCUAGGUCGGCCACGUGUAAGGCAAAUGCCUACCCCAUGUACUAUUGCUCCAGAUCCAAAGCAAGUGCUUUAUAUCUGUUUAUGUUAAUCAAAUCCAUGUUUAUGUUUAUGUUCAACCAAACUCAUGUUAAUCCCUGUUCCCCAACCCUUAUGCUUUUCCUUUAGAAACCUCUCU